CAGUAGCCGCGGGAAUACGAAGGGGGCUAGCGUUGCUCGGAAUCACUGGGCGUAAAGGGUGCGUAGGCGGGUCUUUAAGUCAGGGGUGAAAUCCUGGAGCUCAACUCCAGAACUGCCUUUGAUACUGAAGAUCUUGAGUUCGGGAGAGGUGAGUGGAACUGCGAGUGUAGAGGUGAAGUUCGUAGAUAUUCGCAAGAACACCAGUGGCGAAGGCGGCUCACUGGCCCGGUACUGACGCUGAGGCACGAAAGCGUGGGGAGCAAACAGGAUUAGAUACCCCCGUAGUCCCUGUCUCUUAUAC
rnacentral:rRNA from 1 species